rnacentral:lncRNA from 1 species
UUUAUGUGCAGCGGAAAAUCGUAGUUGACUAAUAUAGUGCAUUGGCUUCCUGGUUGUGGAAGGACACUGGAUGUAGGCAUUGAGGCCGAACCAGUAUAAAAACUUUGUGUUUGCUUUCUCUUUCCCUACACUUUUACUUUAAGUCGACUUUACAAUUUACACAGUCAACUUUAUAUUUCCGUUGCACUUAAACUUCUUAUUCCUUGCGAUUCAAGAAACUUUGUAAAUGUUUAUUUUGUGAAAAAGAUUUUAAAAAGACUCUGAUAUAUAAACCUCACCAAUUC